UACGGAGGGCGCGAGCGUUAAUCGGAAUUACUGGGCGUAAAGCGCGCGUAGGCUGUUGUGUAAGUUGGGGGUGAAAUCCCACGGCUCAACCGUGGAACAGCCCUUGAUACUGCGCGACUUGAAUCCGGGAGAGGGUGGCGGAAUUCCAGGUGUAGGAGUGAAAUCCGUAGAUAUCUGGAGGAACAUCAGUGGCGAAGGCGGCCACCUGGACCGGUAUUGACGCUGAGGCGCGAAAGCGUGGGGAGCAAACAGG
rnacentral:rRNA from 1 species